rnacentral:tRNA from 1 species
AUAUUGGUUGUUCAGUGGUAGAAUUCUAGCCUUCUGUGUGGGAGACCCAGGUUCAAUUCCCAGCCUAUAUA